GGGCCCAUGGCGGCAGGCUUACACAUGCAGUCGAGCGGUAGCACAGGGGAGCUUGCUCCCCGGGUGACGAGCGGCGGACGGGUGAGUAAUGUCUGGGAAACUGCCUGAUGGAGGGGGAUAACUACUGGAAACGGUAGCUAAUACCGCAUAACGUCGCAAGACCAAAGAGGGGGACCUUCGGGCCUCUUGCCAUCAGAUGUGCCCAGAUGGGAUUAGCUAGUAGGUGGGGUAAUGGCUCACCUAGGCGACGAUCCCUAGCUGGUCUGAGAGGAUGACCAGCCACACUGGAACUGAGACACGGUCCAGACUCCUACGGGAGGCAGCAGUGGGGAAUAUUGCACAAUGGGCGCAAGCCUGAUGCAGCCAUGCCGCGUGUGUGAAGAAGGCCUUCGGGUUGUAAAGCACUUUCAGCGAGGAGGAAGGUGGUGAGCUUAAUACGCUCAUCAAUUGACGUUACUCGCAGAAGAAGCACCGGCUAACUCCGUGCCAGCAGCCGCGGUAAUACGGAGGGUGCAAGCGUUAAUCGGAAUUACUGGGCGUAAAGCGCACGCAGGCGGUUUGUUAAGUCAGAUGUGAAAUCCCCGGGCUCAACCUGGGAACUGCAUUUGAAACUGGCAAGCUAGAGUCUCGUAGAGGGGGGUAGAAUUCCAGGUGUAGCGGUGAAAUGCGUAGAGAUCUGGAGGAAUACCGGUGGCGAAGGCGGCCCCCUGGACGAAGACUGACGCUCAGGUGCGAAAGCGUGGGGAGCAAACAGGAUUAGAUACCCUGGUAGUCCACGCUGUAAACGAUGUCGAUUUGGAGGUUGUGCCCUUGAGGCGUGGCUUCCGGAGCUAACGCGUUAAAUCGACCGCCUGGGGAGUACGGCCGCAAGGUUAAAACUCAAAUGAAUUGACGGGGGCCCGCACAAGCGGUGGAGCAUGUGGUUUAAUUCGAUGCAACGCGAAGAACCUUACCCUACUCUUGACAUCCAGAGAACCUUAGCAGAGAUGCAUUUGGGUGGCUUUCGGGAACUUCUUGAGAACAGGUGCUGCAAUGGCUGUCGUUCAGCUCCGUGUUUGCUGAAAAUGUUGGGUUAAGUUCCCCGCAACCGAGCGCCAAUCCUUUAUUCCUUUUGUUGGCCAGCCGAUUCGAUCGGUGACCUCCAAGGAAAACUUGCCAGUGCAUUAACCUGCACGGAAACGGGUGGGGAUGACGUCAGUUCAUCAUGGUCCUUACGGAGGUAGGGACUUUACCAGCAGCAGUGUGCCAU
rnacentral:rRNA from 1 species